rnacentral:rRNA from 1 species
UACGAAGGGGGGCUAGCGUUGUUCGGAAUUACUGGGCGUAAAGCGCACGUAGGCGGACAUUUAAGUCAGGGGUGAAAGCCCGGAGCUUAACUCCGGAACUGCCUUUAAGACUGCAUCGCUCGAAUCAUGGAGAGGUCAGUGGAAUUCCGAGUGUAGAGGUGAAAUUCGUAGAUAUUCGGAAGAACACCAGUGGCGAAGGCGACUCACUGGACACGUAUUGACGCUGAGGUGCGAAAGCGUGGGGAGCAAACAGG